rnacentral:rRNA from 1 species
AGUCGAGCGGUACAGGCCUUCGGGUGCUGACGAGCGGCGGACGGGUGAGUAAUGCUUGGGAACUUGCCUUUCGGAGGGGGAUAACCAUUGGAAACGAUGGCUAAUACCGCAUAACGUCUACGGACCAAAGUGGGGGAUCUUCGGACCUCACACCGAGAGAUAGGCCCAAGUGAGAUUAGCUAGUUGGUGGGGUAAAGGCUCACCAAGGCGACGAUCUCUAGCUGUUCUGAGAGGAUGAUCAGCCACACUGGGACUGAGACACGGCCCAGACUCCUACGGGAGGCAGCAGUGGGGAAUAUUGCACAAUGGGGGAAACCCUGAUGCAGCCAUGCCGCGUGUGUGAAGAAGGCCUUCGGGUUGUAAAGCACUUUCAGUGGUGAGGAAGGCUAUCGUGUUAAUAGCACGGUAGAUUGACGUUAGCCACAGAAGAAGCACCGGCUAACUCCGUGCCAGCAGCCGCGGUAAUACGGAGGGUGCGAGCGUUAAUCGGAAUUACUGGGCGUAAAGCGUACGUAGGCGGCUCAUUAAGCAAGAUGUGAAAGCCCCGGGCUCAACCUGGGAAUGGCAUUUUGAACUGGUGAGCUCGAGUUUUGAAGAGGGUGGUAGAAUUUCCAGUGUAGCGGUGAAAUGCGUAGAUAUUGGAAGGAAUACCAGUGGCGAAGGCGGCCACCUGGUCAAGAACUGACGCUGAGGUACGAAAGCGUGGGGAGCAAACAGGAUUAGAUACCCUGGUAGUCCACGCCGUAAACGAUGUCAACUAGUUGUUCGUUUCAUAAACGAAGUGAGUAACGCAGCUAACGCACUAAGUUGACCGCCUGGGGAGUACGGC